rnacentral:lncRNA from 1 species
GAUUUCUUUAAUGCGGAGUUCCACCACUUAGGUUGGCCUGCCUGUUCACUACACUAGCUGCCAGGGAGUCCACAGCUGAUCGCCGCAAGACUGAUUAUAUUCUCCGUUCGGCAGGGUUGCCAGAUGAAAUUUCUGGAUCUCUCUAGACGGGAGCUUCAAAUUCCCCUAGAAAUCCGUAGGUCAGUUCCCAAGCACAGAACAAAAAAUUGUUUGCUAUUCCGUGUGUGAGAACAAAAAAAGAAGCAAUUGUUAUUUGUCAGCUGUCAAUUUAAUAUUAUAUGACGUCAUUCUUCUUUUUCUUCUUUUUCGGGGCUAUGUCAUUGACAAUUUACCCAGUUAAAUCAGGAAUAAGAAGUUGUCAGCUGUCAAAUAACCUCUAUCUUCUUCUUAUUCAUUUUUUGGACUGUCCUUGACAAUUUACCCAGUGAUGUACCUAUGAAAGGAAGAAAACUGUAUCGUUAAAUCUGAAUUCUACAUCUUUAAUCACUGUGUGCUAGGUGGCGCCAGCAAGAAAUAUAAAAAUUAUGCCAAACUUUAAAAAUCUCUAGAUUUCAAA